rnacentral:rRNA from 1 species
UACGAAGGGGGCUAGCGUUGCUCGGAAUCACUGGGCUUAAAGGGCGCGUAGGCGGACCACCAAGUCGGGGGUGAAAUCUUUCAGCUCAACUGGAAAAGAGCUUCCGAUACUGGUGGUCUCGAGGGAGGUGAGGGGUCGAGGGAACUAAUGGUGGAGCGGUGAAAUGCGUAGAUAUCAUUAGGAACGCCGGUGGCGAAAGCGCUCGACUGGACCUCUUCUGACGCUGAGGCGCGAAAGCCAGGGGAGCAAACGGG